rnacentral:rRNA from 1 species
AUAUAUGAUGCAAUAUUGACUCAGACGAAUARAAUUCUGGCUAAAAUUAUGAUAAUGACAUUGUUUAGCUAUGUGUCUUGACCAAAUUACGUGCCAGCAGUCGCGGUAAUACGUAGAAGACUAGUGUUAUUCAUCUUUAAUAGGUUUAAAGGGUACCCAGACAGUAAAUCAAGCCCUAGUCGGGACUAAUUUGCUAGAGUUACUUACACGGGGGUUUUAAAGUACUAAUGGUGUAGAGAUAAAAUUUUGUAAUACCAUUUUUCGAAAGAAAAGUCAUGGCACUGGUAAAGGCGAAAGCAUCCCCUUAUGUGAUAACUGACGUUGAAGGACGAAGGCUUUGGAUCGCGAAUAGGAUUAGAUACCCUAAUAGUCAAAGCAGAGAAUUAUGAGUGUCAUAGAUUAGAAAUUAAUUUUAUUCUAUAAAUGAAAGUGUAAGCAUUCCACCUCAAGAGUAAUUUGGCAACAUUGAAACUGAAAUCAUUAGACCGUUUCUGAAACCAGUAGUGAAGUAUGUUGUUUUUUUGAUAAUCCGC